UACAGAGGGGGCAAGCGUUAUUCGGAAUUAUUGGGCGUAAAGGGCGCGUAGGCGGCUUUGCAAGUGACGGGUGAAAUCCCUCGGCUUAACCGAGGAACUGCCUGUCAAACUGCAUGGCUUGAGACCGGGAGAGGUGAGUGGAAUUCCCAGUGUAGCGGUGAAAUGCGUAGAUAUCUGGAGGAACACCGGUGGCGAAGGCGGCAUCCUGGACCAAUACUGACGCUGAGGCGCGAAAGCGUGGGGAGCAAACAGG
rnacentral:rRNA from 1 species